rnacentral:lncRNA from 1 species
AUGGCCUACGAAAAGCCCUAGGAAGGAGUCGAGCCUGAGAACAAUGAUCAUAUUAAUUUGAAGGGGGCGGGGCGGUUCUGGGGUGCACUUUAAGAGGUAUGCACCACUUAGUAAACUAAUUAAAGCCUAUUGUGAAUGACAGGGAUUGUCAAUGAGGCAGGUCAGAUUCUGAUUUGAUGGGCAACCCAUCAAUGAAAUAGAUAACACCUACACAGUUGGAGGAUGAAGAUACAAUCGAUAUGCUCCAACAGCAGACAGGAGGUGUUUCCUGA